GGGCGCAAGCCUGAUGCAGCAUGCCGCGUGAUGAGAGGCCUAGGGUCGUAAGUACUUUCAGUGGGGAGGAGGGGGAUAAGGUAAUACCCUGGUGUUCGACGUUACCCGCAGAAUAAGCACCGGCUAACUCCGUGCCAGCAGCCGCGGUAAUACGGAGGGUGCAAGCGUUAAUCGGAAUUACUGGGCGUAAAGCGCACGCAGGCGGUUCGUUAAGUCAGAUGUGAAAUCCCCGAGCUUAACCUGGGAAUUGCAUCUGAAACUGGUUGGCUAGAGUCUUGUAGAGGGGGGUAGAAUUCCAUGUGUAGCGGUGAAAUGCGUAAAGAUGUGGAGGAAUACCGGUGGCGAAGGCGGCCCCCUGGACAAAUACUGACGCUCAGGUGCGAAAGCGUGGGGAGCAAACAGGAUUAAAUACCCUGGUAGUCCACGCUGUAAACGAUGUCUAUUUGGAGGUUGUGGUCUUGAACCGUGGCUUCUGGAGCUAACGCGUUAAAUCGACCGCCUGGGGAGUACGGCCGCAAGGUUAAAACUCAAAUGAAUUGACGGGGGCCCGCACAAGCGGUGGAGCAUGUGGUUUUAUUCGAUGCAACGCGAAGAACCUUUACCC
rnacentral:rRNA from 1 species